AGUGAACGCUGGCGGUAGGCCUAAUACAUGCAAGUCGAACGGAAGGACGAUAAGAGCUCUCCUUUACGGGUGGCGAGUGGCGGACGGGUGAGACAUACAUAGGCAUCUACUUAUUCGUGGGGGACUUCGUAGGGAAAGUUAUGCUACUAGCGCAUAUGAUCUACGGGUGAAAGCAGGAGUUCUUGGGAGUUUGCGUGUUACUAUGAGAUGGAGUCGGAUUAGCUAGUUGGCGGGGUAAGGGCACACCAAGGCAACGAUGCGUAGCCGAUCUGAGAGGGUGAUCGGCCACACUGGAACUGAGACACGGUCCAGACUCCUACGGGAGGCAGCAGUGGGGAAUAUUGGGCAAUGGGCGCAAGCCUGACCCAGCCAUGCCGCGUGAGUGAUGAAGGCCUUCGGAUCGUAAAACCCUUUUAUUAGGAAAGAAAAUCUGUGUAAGAAAAUCCCGCUAUUCUGACGGUACCCAAAGAGAAAGCACCGGCUAACUUCGUG
rnacentral:rRNA from 1 species